rnacentral:lncRNA from 1 species
GUUUUAUUAAAGCACUUUCGGGUCUCUGUCCAUCAGUAAAUUACAAACAUUUGUAGUUUACUGAUGGAUAGAUAUCCGAAAUUGCUUUAAAAAGAAUUUGGUUCAACAAUUAAAUUUAUUUCUGUAUUUUCAGGAGUACAGAAUAGAUCAUUUAGAAAAUUUGGAAUGGUAAAGAAUGAUUAGCAAAACUAUAGCAUACAUGCUGAGUGUGGUGGACAAAAAAUUGAGCACAAUAAAACAAAAAUGUUUAAUACAAAUUGAUACAGUUUUUACAUUAUUGCCAUACAAAUUCAUUGAGAAUGAAAAUAGGACCAAUCAAAAGAGAAUGAUGAAUAGGGAAAAAUUCCAAAAGGACUGCACUUCUAUCUGGUGUAGGCAUUGAGAAAACAAAUGAUGAAAUUAGGUACUCUAUGUGGGGAAGUACUUUAGACUGGUCUAUGCUAACAGAUCGGAAGAGCGU